rnacentral:tRNA from 1 species
GCGGCAGUAGCUCAGUGGUAGGGCCCCAGCUUCGCAUGCGGGGAGACCUGGGUUCGAUUCCCGGCUGCUUCC